rnacentral:rRNA from 1 species
GACGGGUAUCCGGCCUGAGAGGGUGAACGGACACACUGGAACUGAGACACGGUCCAGACUCCUACGGGAGGCAGCAGUAGGGAAUAUUGCUCAAUGGGGGAAACCCUGAAGCAGCAACGCCGCGUGGAGGAUGAAGGUUUUAGGAUUGUAAACUCCUUUUGCUAGAGAAGAUUAUGACGGUAUCUAACGAAUAAGCACCGGCUAACUCCGUGCCAGCAGCCGCGGUAAUACGGAGGGUGCAAGCGUUACUCGGAAUCACUGGGCGUAAAGAGUGCGCAGGCGGGAUAGCAAGUCAGAUGUGAAAUGCUAUGGCUUAACCAUAGAACUGCAUUUGAAACUGUUAUUCUA